rnacentral:rRNA from 1 species
UACGUAGGGGGCCAGCGUUGUCCGGAAUCAUUGGGCGUAAAGCGCGCGUAGGCGGUCAGGUAGGUCCGGUGUGAAAGUCAAAGGCUCAACCUUUGAAUGCCGCUGGAUACUGCUUGACUUGAGUCCGGAAGGGGCGAGUGGAAUUCCUGGUGUAGCGGUGAAAUGCGCAGAUAUCAGGAGGAACACCAAUGGCGAAGGCAGCUCGCUGGAACGGUACUGACGCUGAGGCGCGAAAGCGUGGGGAGCGAUCAGG